CUAACACAUGCAAGUCGAGGGUAGAGGUUGCUUGCAACCUUGAGACCGGCGCACGGGUGCGUAACGCGUAUGCAAUCUACCUAUACUGAGGGAUAGCCCAGAGAAAUUGGAUUAAUACCUCAUAGUAUAAUUGAAUGGCAUCAUUUGAUUAUUAAAGUUACAACGGUAUAAAGAUGAGCAUGCGUCCCAUUAGUUAGUUGGUAAGGUAACGGCUUACCAAGACAAUGAUGGGUAGGGGUCCUGAGAGGGAGAUCCCCCACACUGGUACUGAGACACGGACCAGACUCCUACGGGAGGCAGCAGUGAGGAAUAUUGGUCAAUGGGCGCAAGCCUGAACCAGCCAUGCCGCGUGCAGGAUGAAGCAUCUAUGGUGUGUAAACUGCUUUUAUACAGGAAGAAACACUCCCUCGUGAGGGAGCUUGACGGUACUGUAGGAAUAAGGACCGGCUAACUCCGUGCCAGCAGCCGCGGUAAUACGGAGGGUCCAAGCGUUAUCCGGAAUCAUUGGGUUUAAAGGGUCCGUAGGCGGUUUAAUAAGUCAGUGGUGAAAGCCUAUCGCUUAACGAUAGAACGGCCAUUGAUACUGUUAGACUUGAAUUAGUGGGAAGUAACUAGAAUAUGUAGUGUAGCGGUGAAAUGCUUAGAUAUUACAUGGAAUACCAAUUGCGAAGGCAGGUUACUAUCACUAUAUUGACGCUGAUGGACGAAAGCGUGGGGAGCGAACAGGAUUAGAUACCCUGGUAGUCCACGCCGUAAACGAUGGAUACUAGCUGUUCGGAGCAAUCUGAGUGGCUAAGCGAAAGUGAUAAGUAUCCCAC
rnacentral:rRNA from 1 species